rnacentral:rRNA from 1 species
GUGGGCCAUUUUUGGUAAGCAGAACUGGCGAUGCGGGAUGAACCGAACAUGCGGGCUAAGGUGACAAAGUGRGCGCUCAUGGAGACACCGUAAAAAGGGGGGUGGGUUUAUUUAGACAUGUYGGGCGGUGGUCAUGUACGUCGAAAUCUGCUAAAGGAGUGUGUAGCGACUUAUCUGCCGAAUGGACCGGCCCCGAAAAUGGAUUGCUCAAGCGCGACCACCUAUACCCAACCGUCAGCGCRAAUGUAUUCAAACAGGAUCGCCUGACGAGUAGGAGGGCGUGGGGUCCGUAGCGAAGCCUACCGCCCGUGAGGGCAGGUCGAACGGACCCUAGUGCAGAUCUUGGUGGUAGUAGCAAAUAUUCAAAUGAGUCACACAACUUUGAAGGCCGAAGUGGAGAAAGGUUCCAUGUGAACAGCAGUUGGACAUGGGUUAGCCGGUCCUAAGCGCCG